AAAAGAUCCGGUUCGGAAGCUUAGAUAUUUGGCUUGGGCCUCCCGGCAGGGCGGGGCGAGGUGGGCCUGAAUCUUCACGGGGCGGGGCCACGCUCUACUGGGCGGGGCCUCAAGCAAGGGGUGGAGUCGACGGCCGGGUACCUCCUCACGUGCGGGACUGGCGAGCCCGCAGGACUGGGCGCGCGUGGGUGUGUGGAUGAGCAGGACACGAGGCAUUUCCACGGGGGACCGAAUGGAAGGACAAGCAGAGACCAUACUCCUGGGGAUCACGCGAGGGCAGGCACAAGGUGGGGCGGUGGGUGGGACCCAGCUUUCCUAGAAACCCCUCUGGGGUCCUCUCUCCUCCCCACUUGGGGCAUUAUGAGACCUCAAAAUGUCAAGGAAAAAACGAGGAUUUUCCUUCCA
rnacentral:lncRNA from 1 species